rnacentral:rRNA from 1 species
AUACGUAGGUGGCAAGCGUUGUCCGGAUUUAUUGGGCGUAAAGCGAGUGCAGGUCGGUCUUUUAAGUCUGAUGUGAAAGCCUUCGGCUUAACCGAAGAAGGGCAUCGGAAACUGGGAGACUUGAGUGCAGAAGAGGAGAGUGGAACUCCAUGUGUAGCGGUGAAAUGCGUAGAUAUAUGGAAGAACACCAGUGGCGAAGGCGGCUGUCUGGUCCGUAACUGACGCUGAGGCUCGAAAGUAUGGGUAGC